rnacentral:rRNA from 1 species
UACGAAGGGGGCUAGCGUUGCUCGGAAUCACUGGGCGUAAAGCGCACGUAGGCGGGUUCUUAAGUCAGGGGUGAAAUCCUGGAGCUCAACUCCAGAACUGCCUUUGAUACUGGGAAUCUCGAGUCCGGGAGAGGUGAGUGGAACUGCGAGUGUAGAGGUGAAAUUCGUAGAUAUCUGCAGGAACACCCGUGGCGAAAGCGGCGCGCUGGACCACUACUGACGCUGAGGCACGAAAGCGUGGGGAGCAAACAGG